rnacentral:snoRNA from 1 species
AUACCCCGAUGAUGUCAGCACUGGGCUCUGAUCGCUGUGAUGAUUUGGGUGCCUUCUGGGGACUUGACACUCCAGAAGACUGAGGGGUUC